rnacentral:rRNA from 1 species
GAUGAAUGCUGGCGGCGUGCCUAAUACAUGCAAGUCGAGCGAACAGAUAAGGAGCUUGCUCCUUUGAAGUUAGCGGCGGACGGGUGAGUAACACGUGGGUAACCUACCUAUAAGACUGGGAUAACUUCGGGAAACCGGAGCUAAUACCGGAUAACAUUUAGAACCGCAUGGUUCUAAAGUGAAAGAUGGUUUUGCUAUCACUUAUAGAUGGACCCGCGCCGUAUUAGCUAGUUGGUAAGGUAACGGCUUACCAAGGCGACGAUACGUAGCCGACCUGAGAGGGUGAUCGGCCACACUGGAACUGAGGCACGGUCCAGACUCCUACGGGAGGCAGCAGUAGGGAAUCUUCCGCAAUGGGCGAAAGCCUGACGGAGCAACGCCGCGUGAGUGAUGAAGGGUUUCGGCUCGUAAAACUCUGUUAUUAGGGAAGAACAAAUGUGUAAGUAACUGUGCACAUCUUGACGGUACCUAAUCAGAAAGCCACGGCUAACUACGUG